CAGGAGGAGCAGCUGCCGCCGACGUGCCGCCAUUUUGCGUUCGGCAGGAGAGCGCGCAACCUUACGCGCACUGCUGAAGUGUCCUUGAGCAAGACACUGACCCCACGCUGACCUUUAGGACUCCUCUGGAAGAAGAGAUCUUGUAUCUGCAAUGGGACCUUCCUGCAUGGCUAAAUAAAGGAAAUCAACUCUGCAGUGAUGCCUUAAGAGGACGCCUGGUGCGUAAAAAAGGUGGAGACGAGUCAUCGAGACAAAAAAUCAAGAUAAACCUUUGAGAUCAGUCUCAUGCAUCAGGAUUCUGCACUUCUUCUUGGAUAAUAAUCUCUCUACACGUGGAUGAUUUAAAUAAUGUCUUCAGUGAGACAGUUAUGCAGACAAAUACUUUUAGUGGCGUAAUAAUAAGAAAAACCCAACAGAAUUCCUCCUACCCUGUUGUUUUCCACAGUCAUUUAUAUUUUGAGUUCACCAAAACCUCUGUUAUUCUCAUGCACAUUUGGUUUGUGCCCUUUAAAAAAAAUCUUCGUUAUACAGAUCCGAUUCUUUCUCUUUUUUUUUUAUAAGAAAUGUAAAUCACUGUGUUAACUGUGUGCUCAUCUUUAAACCUAUAAGCACCCCUGAU